GUGGGUGUAGCUCAGCUGGUUAGAGCGUCAGAUUGUGGCUCUGAAGGCCGUGGGUUCGAAUCUCAUCAUCCACCCCA
rnacentral:tRNA from 1 species